rnacentral:rRNA from 1 species
AGCGAACGCUGGCGGCAGGCCUAACACAUGCAAGUCGAACGAAGUCUUCGGACUUAGUGGCGGACGGGUGAGUAACACGUGGGAACGUACCUUUUGGUUCGGAACAACUCAGGGAAACUUGAGCUAAUACCGGAUGAGCCCUUAGGGGAAAGAUUUAUCGCCGAAAGAGCGGCCCGCGUUAGAUUAGCUAGUUGGCGAGGUAAAGGCUCACCAAGGCUACGAUCUAUAGCUGGUCUGAGAGGAUGAUCAGCCACACUGGGACUGAGACACGGCCCAGACCCCUACGGGAGGCAGCAGUGGGGAAUCUUGCGCAAUGGGCGAAAGCCUGACGCAGCCAUGCCGCGUGAAUGAUGAAGGUCUUAGGAUUGUAAAAUUCUUUUACCAGGGACGAUAAUGACGGUACCUGGAGAAAAAGCCCCGGCUAACUUCGUGCCAGCCGCCGCGGUAAUAC